UACAGAGGUCUCAAGCGUUGUUCGGAUUCAUUGGGCGUAAAGGGUGCGUAGGCGGCGCGGUAAGUCGGGUGUGAAAUCUCGGAGCUUAACUCCGAAACUGCAUUCGAUACUGCCGUGCUUGAGGACUGGAGAGGAGACUGGAAUUUACGGUGUAGCGGUGAAAUGCGUAGAUAUCGUAAGGAAGACCAGUGGCGAAGGCGGGUCUCUGGACAGUUCCUGACGCUGAGGCACGAAAGUCAGGGGAGCAAACAGG
rnacentral:rRNA from 1 species